rnacentral:lncRNA from 1 species
AACAAGGGCCCGUCAGGCUCAGAAGCCCCGUGGCCUCCACUUCACACUUCACUUCUCCCAGGCCUAGCUCGCUUCUCCAAGCACUUGCCCCUUCUGUUCCCUCUGCCCAAUUACCUGCCUAAUUCCUUUUUUUUUUUUUUGAGAUGGAGUCUCACUCUCUUGCCCAGGCUGGAGUGCAAUGACAUGAUCUCGGCUCACUGCAACCUCUGCCUCCCAGGUUCAAGUGAUUCUCCUGCCUGAGCCUCCUGAGUAGCUGGGACUACAGGUGACUGAAUGUCUGACCACCGUGAAGUCAGUCAACAAAACGGACAGUCAGACCCUCCUGACCACAUUUGGAUCUCUGGAACAGCUCAUCGCCGCAUCAAGAGAAGAUCUGGCCUUAUGCCCAGGCCUGGGCCCUCAGAAAGCCCGGAGGCUGUUUGAUGUCCUGCACGAGCCCUUCUUGAAAGUACCCUGAUGACCCCAGCUGCCAAGGAAACCCCCAGUGUAAUAAUAAAUCGUCCUCCCAGGCCAGGCUCCUGCUGGCUGCGCUGGUGCAGUCUCUGGGGAGGGAUUCUGGGGGUGUCACCUUCUGGUGGCCCAGGUG